AUGGUCUGGGGAAAGACUCCUGUGUGGCUGAACCUGCCCAGCUGUGGGUGCAGCCUUGUACCGGGCAGCCCAACCCUGACCUAAAGUAAAUUCCCAGGAGAAGUCUUUCCUGGGAUUUGAAUUUGCAGUAACAGGUGUGAACAUUCUAGCGGCAGUUUGAUCAUGUAUGAUACUAUAAACAGGA
ensembl:scaRNA